CCUACGGGAGGCAGCAGUGGGGAAUAUUGCACAAUGGGGGAAACCCUGAUGCAGCAACGCCGCGUGGAGGAUGAAGGCCUUUGGGUUGUAAACUCCUUUCGACCGGGACGAUAAUGACGGUACCGGUGGAAGAAGCCCCGGCUAACUUCGUGCCAGCAGCCGCGGUAAU
rnacentral:rRNA from 1 species